GUCCCUGUGGUGCAGAGGAUAGCGCGUUGGACUUCUAAUCCAAAGGUCGUGGGUUCGAUCCCCACCAGGGAUG
rnacentral:tRNA from 1 species